CAAGACGUAGCUAUAAUUAAAGCGCUCAGCUUACACCUGAGAGAUAUCUGCUAUCCGUCAGAUCGUCUUGA
rnacentral:tRNA from 1 species